UACGUAGGGUGCAAGCGUUGUCCGGAAUUAUUGGGCGUAAAGAGCUCGUAGGCGGUUUGUUGCGUCGGCUGUGAAAUCCCGAGGCUCAACCUCGGGUCUGCAGUCGAUACGGGCAAACUAGAGUAUUGCAGGGGAGACUGGAAUUCCUGGUGUAGCGGUGAAAUGCGCAGAUAUCAGGAGGAACACCGGUGGCGAAGGCGGGUCUCUGGGCAAUAACUGACGCUGAGGAGCGAAAGCGUGGGGAGCGAACAGG
rnacentral:rRNA from 1 species